UUUACAAGAACCAUCCAGACUCGGCUAGCUAGAAGAUAAAUGGGAUUGAUUUAAGUAUUGACCACAACCUGUGCUAGAAGAGGCACCCAUAAAAUUGGGCAACCUUAAGGGGUUGUUGAUGAAGUAGGCCGAGCUUUCUGGCGAACCUCCAUACCCUUCACUGAAUCUACAGGACACUCUAUCAACAUGUGCCCUAGCUUACCAUAUACAAAAAAGCCUUCUCAACCUACCAUACACUUUUAUAUGUUUCUUUCAACAUAUAUUGCAACCGGGAUGGGAUUUUCCCCUUAAGAUAUUUCUUUAGGAGUUAGAGCCAGAUGCUCCCCCUUAUGAUCAUAAUAAUUCCUGGGCACCAGAGAUGAAUUACUAGCUGAUGAUAAUGUUGGUCCUAGUAACUUUCUCAAAAAAUACGAUGGUCUCCACUUGCAAUCUUCUGAAGGUUAGAGUUACCCUUCCCAAAUAUGGCCUCUUGCUCUCCCUUCUUCUUUUGUUACCAAUAGAAUUUGCAAAUACUGCUACCUGGUCAUUCAAUUGAGCAGUCAUAGCUUGAGAAAACAGUUGGAUGGCAUUAUGAAACUCUGUAUUAAAAAUAUUUGCAUUUGUAGGCUAAUUGACUGGUGUGGAAAGGUUACCAUUUUGGUCACUUUUUUGGUUAAUCUCUUUUUGAGAGACAUAUUCUUAAACAUGUAAGGCACCAGUUAGAAUGAUAAAUAAAGUUCACACACUAUCGGAUG
rnacentral:lncRNA from 1 species